UGCGUCUCGGAUAGUUAAUGCAUCCUUCUGCAGUGACACUUAUUGGAAGCCUUAGAUAACCGCCAGAAAUGGUACGGUUCCCGCGACUCUAAAGAAGUAGGAUCCUAAGGGUUAGUGGUACUGCCUCGACUUAAUUUAUUUAAGCACGCGGUGCUGCGACACUAUCAAAUUGCGGGAAGUCCCUUAGAGCCGGCAGUACCGCUCCCUCGUCGAAAUGAUGGGGGCAGCACCGGGUUAAUGACCUCGGGUAUGGUAACAAUCUCGCCGGAUUGGGUUACCUGCAGCCAAGUCCUCCGCGGAGGGGUGGUCGUUCACGGGCGGCCGUCUUUCGUGGUAGGAUGCAGUUCACAGGCCAAAUGGUAGUGGGUGGUCCCCUUUUGGUAAGGGCGAUUGCUUAAGAUAUGGUCGGGCCCCCAGGGAAAUCCUGGGGGGUGAGUUCACAAAAGAAUAAAGUAACAAGAACAACAAAACGUUCCGUAGGUGAACCUGCGGAAGGAUCAUUA
rnacentral:rRNA from 1 species